CUAAGCACAAACAAGAUGAAACCACCUUCACGGUCCAAGAGAGCGGCAGUUUUGUGCCGGGGGUGUUUCUGGGCUGUCUCCUCCAGCACAGCUUUGCUUUUACCCCUGCACCUCUCUCCCUCUAAGCGUUUCUGAAGCUGGCGUGUGUGUUUAGAGCAAAGGCUUGGGUGGCUGUGGCAGGUUCCCACGCUCGGUCCUGCCACCAGACCCUCCUGUCCCAGGAGGAACAAUAUGGAUGGUGACCAAGUCAUGAAACCCUUGCCCAGUGCAUGGGGUCCGAGAAGGCUCCAGCUCCCUGCGUGCACCGGUACUUGCUCUCAUCCAAUGCCCACCUGAUGGACACCAACCCUUGGAGCCUAAAGAAGGUCUGUGACAAGGAGAGCUCAUGGAGAAAGGUAGUGCUUUCAGAGAUCGCUUCGCUGCAGGUUUUACCUGCUUGGGCUCUCAAGCAAAUGUAGCAGGAGCAUUCAUGAGCAGAAUGUGGUGAGCCAUAAAUAAUGAGGAGCGUCCCAGGAAAGCAUCGGAGGAGAAGGAUGGCCUGGCAGCUGGUGAGCUCGUGUGUCCAGCUUUACAGGGACCUCCUGCCUGACCACAGGUAAAGCACAGCAUCGUGCUCUGCCUCAGCAUCCCACCCUCGGAGCGGAAGGAAGAGCCAUGCAAGAUGUGUUAGCAGUCCCCAACCCAAGGGCUUCUUGGUGUCCGCAUGACCCCAUGCAUCCUAUGGGAAUUAAAAGCUCGAAGAGCAGAGACUGCUCAGCAAAAUCCUGGGACCGCAGAGGUAGAUGGAGAGGACAUUAUUAUGAGUCUGUUUUGAAGCUGCAGUUUUGCAGAUCUCAGGGGUCUAGAAGGGAAAUAUGUGAGGUCAAAGGGGUCCCUGGGACAAAAGUGCUGUACCCCAAAUUUAGAAGAACUUGAAAGACUGCAUCAAAAAUAACAGUAUGCUCACUGCGCUCUUCCCAGGUGCUGGAGGGUCAAGGAUGUCUCUGUGCUGGGGCUUGGGACCACACAGGCGUAGGAAUGCCCUGCAGUGGGAGGCAUUUUUCCGGAAGCUUAUCCUGAACUUUUAAAGGCUUUUUUUUUUUUUUUCUGCUUCAAAACCUGUAUAUUAUAAAGCAAAAUCCCCCAUGUUGUUAGCAUCACUUUCAACCAGCAGCAAUCAUUAGAUCCUGAGUCUGUUGCCAGCAGCAUUGCUGGUGAUUUACCUCAUUUGCUGCAAGGCUAAAGGACGAGCCUGUUUCCCCCUUUGCUGAGCUUCCCACGCUGCCUCUUUGCUCACAAGGAAGCAAAAUCCCUACAAAAAUUGGGCUGCCACCACAUCAGGAGACUGCCAACAACCUCCUCCAGGUGCAGCUGUCCUGGAACGCAUUUAAAAACCCACCCUAAACCCAUUCCUCCUCCUCUGCAUUUUUUUCCCAAUACAUUUUCCUGAGGUCCCGGUGCCGGUUUGCAGGGAUGGCCACCCUCUGCUACCGGCCAGGUGGCUGGUGGCAUGUCCUGUGACAGAGCAACCUGCCCUCAUCCUGCCGACGUGCUUUGUUUGCCGUGCUCGGUUUUGCUCCCCUGCUAACCCCAUCACGCUGCUCCUAUUUUUAAUACCAAGCGAUAAACCCGCCUCUUUGCUGUGUCUCACACACGUUGCGAGCGGCGCAAGGUAUUAAGUUGAGCACGUCUGUGUUUAGCACCUGCCAGGGGUGGCCCGGCGAGGAAUGCAUCGGCUCUUCCGUGCUGCCAGCCCCGAACUGCAGCGGUUCUUCUUCGUCCAUCGGAGAUGCCUUCCUCAACAGCACCAAAUUCUCCCUGCCUGACAGAAGGUUGGGUUUGGGUUUUUUUUUUUUUUUCCAGCUUGCACUGAAAAGCAGUUCCUGAAGUGGGUAUCAUUCAUCCCGAUGCCAGAAAAGGGGAGGAGGAGACGCGAAUGUUGCUGCAUCCCAGCAUCUGCCCUGGUUCAGUGCAGGCAGCAGUGAGCUGUGGCUUGGGGGAACCCCCGCCCACCCAAGGGUGCUCCUGGUAAGAGUGGGUGCCACUGAAAUCUGCAGCACAUUUUUUUCCCCUUUCAGCAAUUCCUUUUAUUUUUUUCCUGGGCUGAACUUAAAGUUUGGGCUUUGUUUUUUUUAAAAAAAUUUUAUAGGGCUUUUAUUGCCAUAACAGGGAUACCGGGGUGGAACAUCUGAUCACUGGGAUAAACACGUCCCAAAAUAAAGGGUUUGCACAUCCUGUUUUUAAAGCUGGUCUUGCAAAAUGUUCAAAAGCUUUUCUAUUUAGCUAACAUUUCAGUGUCUGUAAAUGGUUGAAACUUUUUCCAGCUAUUGUUAAUGGCAGUAUCUAUAACUCAUUGGCUGUGAUAUUGCACAUUCAAAAUAAGGAAGAAUAAAUAAAUACAUGAAGUAAAA